rnacentral:rRNA from 1 species
GACGAGCGCUGGCGGCGUGCUUAACACAUGCAAGUCGAACGGUAAGGCCCUUCGGGGUACACGAGUGGCGAACGGGUGAGUAACACGUGGGUGAUCUGCCCUGCACUUCGGGAUAAGCCUGGGAAACUGGGUCUAAUACCGGAUAGGACCACUGCCUGCAUGGGUGGUGGAGGAAAGCUUUUGCGGUGUGGGAUGGGCCCGCGGCCUAUCAGCUUGUUGGUGGGGUGAUGGCCUACCAAGGCGACGACGGGUAGCCGGCCUGAGAGGGUGACCGGCCACACUGGGACUGAGAUACGGCCCAGACUCCUACGGGAGGCAGCAGUGGGGAAUAUUGCACAAUGGGCGCAAGCCUGAUGCAGCGACGCCGCGUGAGGGAUGACGGCCUUCGGGUUGUAAACCUCUUUCAGCACCGACGAAGCGCAAGUGACGGUAGGUGCAGAAGAAGGACCGGCCAACUACGUGCCAGCAGCCGCGGUAACAC